GAUGAACGCUGGCGGCGUGCUUAACACAUGCCAGUCGAACGGAAAGGCCCAAGCUUGCUUGGGUACUCGAGUGGCGAACGGGUGAGUAACACGUGGGUGAUCUGCCCUGCACUUCGGGAUAAGCCUGGGAAACUGGGUCUAAUACCGGAUAGGACCACUUCUUGGAUGUUGUGGUGGAAAGUUUUUUCGGUGUGGGAUGAGCUCGCGGCCUAUCAGCUUGUUGGUGGGGUAAUGGCCUACCAAGGCGUCGACGGGUAGCCGGCCUGAGAGGGUGUACGGCCACAUUGGGACUGAGAUACGGCCCAGACUCCUACGGGAGGCAGCAGUGGGGAAUAUUGCACAAGGGGCGCAAGCCUGAUGCAGCGACGCCGCGUGGGGGAUGACGGCCUUCGGGUUGUAAACUCCUUUCGCUAGGGACGAAGCGUUUUGUGACGGUACCUGGAGAAGAAGCACCGGCUAACUACGUG
rnacentral:rRNA from 1 species